rnacentral:rRNA from 1 species
GACGAACGCUGGCGGCGUGCUUAACACAUGCAAGUCGAACGGAAAGGCCCUGCUUUUGUGGGGUGCUCGAGUGGCGAACGGGUGAGUAACACGUGAGUAACCUGCCCUUGACUUUGGGAUAACUUCAGGAAACUGGGGCUAAUACCGGAUAGGAGCUCCUGCUGCAUGGUGGGGGUUGGAAAGUUUCGGCGGUUGGGGAUGGACUCGCGGCUUAUCAGCUUGUUGGUGGGGUAGUGGCUUACCAAGGCUUUGACGGGUAGCCGGCCUGAGAGGGUGACCGGCCACAUUGGGACUGAGAUACGGCCCAGAAUCCUACGGGAGGCAGCAGUGGGGAAUAUUGCACAAUGGGCGGAAGCCUGAUGCGGCAACGCCGCGUGCGGGAUGACGGCCUUCGGGUUGUAAACCGCUUUCGCCUGUGACGAAGCGUGAGUGACGGUAAUGGGUAAAGAAGCACCGGCUAACUACGUG